AUUGAACGCUGGCGGCAGGCCUAACACAUGCAAGUCGAGCGAGCGGCGGACGGGUGAGUAAUGUCUGGGAGCCUGCCUGAUGGGGGGGGCUACCUGCUGGAGACGGUAGCUAAUCCCGCAUACCAUCAGAUGUACCCGGAUGGGAUUAGCUGGUAGGUGAGGUAACGGCUCACCUAGGCGACGCUCCCUAGCUGGUCUGAGAGGAUGACCAGCCACACUGGGACUGAGACACGGCCCAGACUCCUACGGGAGGCAGCAGUGGGGAAUAUUGCACAAUGGGCGCAAGCCUGAUGCAGCCAUGCCGCGUGUGUGAAGAAGGCCUUCGGGUUGUAAAGCACUUUCAGUGGGGAGGCGUUACCGGCAGAAGAAGCACCGGCUAACUCCGUGCCAGCAGCCGCGGUAAUAC
rnacentral:rRNA from 1 species